UACGUAGGGGGCGAGCGUUGUCCGGAUUUAUUGGGCGUAAAGAGCUCGUAGGCGGCUCAGUAAGUCAGGUGUGAAAACUCCAGGCUCAACCUGGAGACGCCACCUGAUACUGCUGUGGCUAGAGUCCGGUAGGGGAGCAUGGAAUUCCUGGUGUAGCGGUGAAAUGCGCAGAUAUCAGGAGGAACACCAGUGGCGAAGGCGGUGCUGUGGGCCGGAACUGACGCUGAGGAGCGAAAGCGUGGGGAGCAAACAGG
rnacentral:rRNA from 1 species